AAGGAGGGAAAAGUGGUGGAUGCGAAGACCGUCUUUACAGGGCAUACGGCAGUAGUAGAUGUUUCCUGGCAUCUGCUCCAUGAGUCUCUGUUUGAGUCAGUUGCUGAUGAUCAGAAACUUAUGAUUUGGAAUACUCAUUCAAACAAUACUUCCAAACCAAGCCACUCAGUUGACGCUCACACUGCUGAAGUGAACUGCCUUUCUUUCAAUCCUUACAGUGAGUUCAUUCUUGCCACAGGAUCAGCUAACAAGACUGCUGCCUUGUGGGAUCUGAGAAAUCUGAAACUUAAGUUGCAUUCCUUUGAGUCACAUAAGGAUGAAAUAUUCCAGGUUCAGUGGUCACUUCACAAUGAGACUAUUUUGGCUUCCAGUGGUACUGAUCGCAGACUGAAUAUCUGGGAUUUAAGUAAAAUUGGAGAGGAACAAUCCCCAGAAGAUGCAGAAGAUGGGCCACCAGAGUUGCUGUUUAUUCAUGGUGGUCACACUGCCAAGAUACCUGAUUUCUCCUGGAAUCCCAAUGAACCUUGGGUGAUUUGUUCUGUAUCAGAAGACAAUAUCAUGCAAGUGUGGCAAAUGGCAGAGAACAUUUAUAAUGAUGAAGACCCUGAAGGAAGCGUGAAUCCAGAAGGACAAGGGUCCUAGAUAUGUCUUUACUUCUUGUGAUUUUAGACUCCCCUUUUUUCUUCUCAACCCUGAGAGUGAUUUAACACUGGUUUUGAGACAGACUUUGUUCAGCUAUCCCUCUAUAUAAUAGGUACCACCAAUAAUGCUAUUAGCCCAAACAGUGGGUGUUUUCUAAAUAUUAAUGGGGGGGCUUGAUUCAGCAAAGCCACAAACUUAACUUUGAAAUUUUCUUCAGGAAUUUUCUAGUAACCCAGGUCUAAAGUAGCUACAGAAGGGGGAAUAUUAUGUGUGAUUAUUUUUCUUCUUAUGCUAUAUAUCCCCAGGUUUUUCAGACUCAUUUAAGUAAAGGCUAGAGUGAGUAAGGAAGAGAGCCAAAUGAGGUAGGUGUCUGAGCCAUGAAGUGUAAAUACUAAAAGAUGUCACUUUUAUUCAGGAAAUAGGGGAGAUUCAAAUCAUAUAGAUUCCUACUCCAAAAUCUUGACACUUGACUUUCCAGGAUGCACAUUUUCAUAUGUAGACCAGUUUCCUCUUAGUUUCCUCAGUUAAGUCAAAAGUACAUGUUCCUGUUUCCCCAUAUAUUCAUAUAUUUUUGCUCGUUAAGUGUAUUUCUUGAGCUGUUUUCAUGUUGUUUCUUUCCUGUCUGUGAAAUAGUGUGGUUUUUUUUUUGUUGUUGUUGUUGUUUUUAACUUGGGACCACCAAGUUGUAAAGAUGUAUGUUUUUACCUGACAGUUACAUCACAGGCAGACUGUCAAGUUGAGAAAAGUGAAUCAAUAACUUGUAUUUGUUUUAAAAAUUAAAUUAAUCCUUGAUAAGAGUUGCUUUUUUUUUUUUUAGGAGUUAGUCCUUGACCACUAGUUUGAUGC